rnacentral:rRNA from 1 species
UACGUAGGGUGCAAGCGUUGUCCGGAAUUAUUGGGCGUAAAGAGCUCGUAGGCGGUCUGUUGCGUCGGCUGUGAAAACCCGGGGCUCAACUCCGGGCCUGCAGCCGAUACGGGCAGACUAGAGUUCGGCAGGGGAGACUGGAAUUCCUGGUGUAGCGGUGAAAUGCGCAGAUAUCAGGAGGAACACCGGUGGCGAAGGCGGGUCUCUGGGCCGAUACUGACGCUGAGGAGUGAAAGCGUGGGGAGCGAACAGG